UGGAUCCAGACUUUGAUUAUGGCUCAGGAUGAACGCUAGCUACAGGCUUAACACAUGCAAGUCGAGGGGAAACGACAUUGAAAGCUUGCUUUCGAUGGGCGUCGACCGGCGCACGGGUGAGUAACGCGUAUCCAACCUGCCCAUCACUUGGGGAUAACCUUGCGGAAGUAAGACUAAUACCCAAUGACGUCUCUAGAAGACAUCUGAAAGAGAUUAAAGAUUUAUCGGUGAUGGAUGGGGAUGCGUCUGAUUAGCUUGUUGGCGGGGUAACGGCCCACCAAGGCUACGAUCAGUAGGGGUUCUGAGAGGAAGGUCCCCCACAUUGGAACUGAGACACGGUCCAAACUCCUACGGGAGGCAGCAGUGAGGAAUAUUGGUCAAUGGACGAGAGUCUGAACCAGCCAAGUAGCGUGCAGGAUGACGGCCCUAUGGGUUGUAAACUGCUUUUAUAAGGGAAUAAAGUGAGUCUCGUGAGACUUUUUGCAUGUACCUUAUGAAUAAGGACCGGCUAAUUCCGUGCCAGCAGCCGC
rnacentral:rRNA from 1 species